AGUCGAGGGGCAGCAUUUUAGUUUGCUUGCAAACUAAAGAUGGGCGACCGCGCUGCACGGGUGAGUAACACGUAUCCAACCUGCCGAUAACUCGGGGAUAGCCUUUCGAAAGAAAGAUUAAUAUCCGAUAGUAUAUUAAAACCGCAUGGUUUUACUAUUAAAGAAUUUCGGUUAUCGAUGGGGAUGCGUUCCAUUAGUUUGUUGGCGGGGUAACGGCCCACCAAGACUACGAUGGAUAGGGGUUCUGAGAGGAAGGUCCCCCACAUUGGAACUGAGACACGGUCCAAACUCCUACGGGAGGCAGCAGUGAGGAAUAUUGGUCAAUGGACGAGAGUCUGAACCAGCCAAGUAGCGUGAAGGAUGACUGCCCUAUGGGUUGUAAACUUCUUUUAUAUGGGAAUAAAGUAUUCCACGUGUGGAAUUUUGUAUGUACCAUAUGAAUAAGGAUCGGCUAACUCCGUGCCAGCAGCCGCGGUAAUACGGAGGAUCCGAGCGUUAUCCGGAUUUAUUGGGUUUAAAGGGAGCGUAGGUGGAUUGUUAAGUCAGUUGUGAAAGUNUGCGGCUCAACCGUAAAAUUGCAGUUGAAACUGGCAGUCUUGAGUACAGUAGAGGUGGGCGGAAUUCGUGGUGUAGCGGUGAAAUGCUUAGAUAUCACGAAGAACUCCGAUUGCGAAGGCAGCUCACUAGACUGCAACUGACACUGAUGCUCGAAAGUGUGGGUAUCAAACAGGAUUAGAUACCCUGGUAGUCCACACAGUAAACGAUGAAUACUCGCUGUUUGCGAUAUACAGUAAGCGGCCAAGCGAAAGCAUUAAGUAUUCCACCUGGGGAGUACGCCGGCAACGGUGAAACUCAAAGGAAUUGACGGGGGCCCGCACAAGCGGAGGAACAUGUGGUUUAAUUCGAUGAUACGCGAGGAACCUUACCCGGGCUUAAAUUGCAUUUGAAUAAUCUGGAAACAGGUUAGCCGCAAGGCAAAUGUGAAGGUGCUGCAUGGUUGUCGUCAGCUCGUGCCGUGAGGUGUCGGCUUAAGUGCCAUAACGAGCGCAACCCUUAUCUUUAGUUACUAACAGGUCAUGCUGAGGACUCUAGAGAGACUGCCGUCGUAAGAUGUGAGGAAGGUGGGGAUGACGUCAAAUCAGCACGGCCCUUACGUCCGGGGCUACACACGUGUUACAAUGGGGGGUACAGAAGGCAGCUACCUGGCGACAGGAUGCUAAUCCCAAAAACCUCUCUCAGUUCGGAUCGAAGUCUGCAACCCGACUUCGUGAAGCUGGAUUCGCUAGUAAUCGCGCAUCAGCCAUGGCGCGGUGAAUACGUUCCCGGGCCUUGUACACACCGCCCGUCAAGCCAUGAAAGCCGGGGGACCGAAGUAC
rnacentral:rRNA from 1 species